rnacentral:rRNA from 1 species
UGAACGCUGGCGGCGUGCCUAAUACAUGCAAGUCGAGCGAACAGACGAGGAGCUUGCUCCUCUGACGUUAGCGGCGGACGGGUGAGUAACACGUGGAUAACCUACCUAUAAGACUGGGAUAACUUCGGGAAACUGGAGCUAAUACCGGAUAAUAUAUUGAACCGCAUGGUUCAAUAGUGAAAGACGGUUUUGCUGUCACUUAUAGAUGGAUCCGCGCCGCAUUAGCUAGUUGGUAAGGUAACGGCUUACCAAGGCAACGAUGCGUAGCCGACCUGAGAGGGUGAUCGGCCACACUGGAACUGAGACACGGUCCAGACUCCUACGGGAGGCAGCAGUAGGGAAUCUUCCGCAAUGGGCGAAAGCCUGACGGAGCAACGCCGCGUGAGUGAUGAAGGUCUUCGGAUCGUAAAACUCUGUUAUUAGGGAAGAACAAAUGUGUAAGUAACUAUGCACGUCUUGACGGUACCUAAUCAGAAAGCCACGGCUAACUAC